rnacentral:rRNA from 1 species
GCCUGCUCUGCUCUGCCUCGGCUCGCCAAGAAAUACAGAAACAGGGUAAGGGGAGGAGACUUGUCCUGUCACUUCCCGGCUCUCACUCUCGGCACGCGGCUGGGUUUCCUCCUCCUGAUCGAGCGGAGAACAGUGGCGGUGCCGGUGCUCAGCCGAGAGGUCAGCUCAGCGUCAGGAGCUCGGAGCAGUGGACUGAUUACCUCCCUCUCUCUUUCUCUCCGUGUGCGCGCACGAGGUGCUGCUCUCUCUUCUCCAUUAAUUCCUUUUUGGAAGUGAAGCGAUCCUCCCCGUGGGUCUGCUGCCCGGAGGCUGGAGCUAGAAGAAGGAGCGGGGUAGAUAGCUUGGCUUGCUCGCUCCCCUUUCUGCUUCCUUCCAGUCCCAGCGGCCGUGGCGGCAUGGACGGCAAUGGGAGAUCGGCGGCGAGCCACAAGAAGCCUCUCGUCGCGGACAACGACCUGGUGGAGCUGCUGUGGCACAACGGGGCCGUCGUCGCGCAGCCGCAGACGCACCCGAGGCCGGCGCCCAGCGGCCUCGCCGGCGGUGGCGGGGAGACGGCCGCGUGGUUCCGGGACGACGUCGACGUGCUGGGAAACGACGUCUACGCGCAGGAGGAAGCGAGCGCCGCACCGCCGUCCGAGGGGACGCGCGGGGCGAGCACCCGCGACGGCGGCGCCGGCACCUCGUCGUCCGGCGGGUCCGGGAGCAACUUCGGGGGCUCCGGCCUGCCGAGCGAGAGCGGCGGCCGUGCCCACAAGAGGAAGGGGAGGGGCAAAGACGACUCCGAUAGCCGCAGCGAGGAUGUGGAGUGUGAGGCGACCGAGGAGACCAAAUCGUCGAGGCGACACGGGUCGAAGCGGAGGAGCAGAGCAGCUGAAGUUCAUAACCAGUCAGAGAGGAGACGAAGGGACCGGAUCAACGAAAAGAUGCGGUCACUUCAAGAACUCAUACCCCACUGCAACAAGGCUGACAAAGCAUCAAUAUUAGAUGAGGCGAUCGAGUACUUAAAGUCCCUCCAAAUGCAAGUUCAGAUCAUGUGGAUGACCACCGGGAUGGCGCCAAUGAUGUUUCCUGGUGCUCACCAGUUCAUGCCGCCGAUGGCCGUGGGCAUGAAUUCGGCAUGCAUGCCUGCGGCACAGGGUUUAAAUCAGAUGGCAAGAAUGCCAUACAUGAACCAUUCAUUGUCAAACCACAUCCCUAUGAACCCAUCUCCAGCAAUGAACCCUAUGUACAUUGCAAACCAGAUGCAAAACAUUCAGCUGAGAGAAGCAAGUAACCAUUUCCUUCACCCAGAUAGCGGGCUAGCAGCGGCACCUCAGGUAGCAGGACCAUAUGCUUAUACACCACAAGUAGCACCGAAAAGCCAGAUACCGGAAGUGCCGGAUUGUACUGUUGCGCCAAUUUCUGGGCCCGGACAACCACCUGCACCUGAUGGAAUUUAGAGUGACCUUGAACUAGGUAUGGACUGUGUCGACAACCUGCACAUGGGCCAUCCUUCUGGAAUUUUCUGAAAAUACCAACAUGAUGAGCAGAUAGUACCCAUAUUGCUGUUAUAUGUCUCGAUCAAUAUGCGUCUGGCAUAAAUACUAGAAGAAUUGUAAAUGCAGAUAACACUGUUCCCUCCCAUUUAUGUCAGAAAAGUAUAUCGUCAGUACGCGUCUAACUCCAAUUCCCUCUGUACAUACUAAUCACAACUUUGUAUAGAAAAAUGUACUAAUCAUAAUAGUAUUAGGUUUGCAGCCAUUUGAAAACAUAGUUCUAUGGCAAACUUUACCUUUCUUUUUGUUUUAUUGGUGUUAUCGUCUCCGAGAUGGUUUAUCUGAGAGAAGGGAAAAGAAAAGGUUUUAAGUUCUUGUUGUCAAAUGGCCAACAUCCAACCAACCAGAUCCAGGGGGGAAGGAACAGAAGAGGUCAAAACAAUCAUGAUAUCAAACCUUACUCUUCUUUAAAGCCAAGAUUUGGUCUGCAGGGGGAGGAAGAACUUGCCGGGCCGCCACGGAGCUGUCCGCUUCGCCGUGCCGGCCCGCGAGCGCUGCUGCGUGUGCGCACAGUCACUCCGGCGUUAUGCUUAUCGACAAAGUUCUCUCGGCAUCCUCGCUCCUGUGGCUCACAUUCUGGGAGAGGGUUCUGUGGUGAUGGUAGAGUUUGCGGUUUCUAUCCUGCUUUUGCCUGAUGUCUACGGCACCCAACCCAGCCAAGUGCACGACAUUGUUGUUACAUGGUCCUCCUGGCGACCAUCAGAUUCAGAUGCUGCUCACCGGGGCCUGCCCGGUGCAACUGGCCGUGGGAUCGUAUCCCCUGAGCUUUCCUGUCUACCGUAACCGGUAAAAUGCCGGAUUCCCCCGGAGCUUGCUGCUCAUCUGUUGCCCUCUCGCUCGCUCGCUCGCUCGCGCUGUCGCGGCGCUUUCUUCGGGAUGAAAAUGACGCGCCUCGACGCGUGUCUGAGCGGAAUGAUCUGCCUCUCCUGUGCUGUUGUUCUCCUGGAUUUGUACAGUUUGUCAGUUGCAUGCGUCGUGGUAGAACGGGCAUUUGCCUGUGUCUGGAAGUGUGGCUAUGUGUUGGAUGAACGAGUAGCAAAAAUAGAUGUUGCAAAAAAAAGGAGGUAAAGAAAACGAAAAUAAAAUUUGGCUUCGCCCGGGUUCGAACCG